rnacentral:rRNA from 1 species
GACGAACGCUGGCGGCGUGCCUAACACAUGCAAGUCGAACGGAAAGGCCCUGCUUUUGUGGGGUGCUCGAGUGGCGAACGGGUGAGUAACACGUGAGUAACCUGCCCUUGUCUUUCGGAGAACUUCAGGAAACUGGGGCUAAUACCGGAUAGGAGCUCCUGCACCAUGGUGGGGGUUGGAAAGUUUCGGCGGUUGGGGAUGGACUGGCGGCUUAUCAGCUUGUUGGUGGGGUAGUGGAUUACCAAGCCUUUGACGGGUAGGCGGCAUGGGAGGGUGACCGGCCACAAUGGGACUGAGAUAGGCCGCAGAGGGGUACGGGAGGCAACGGUGGGAAGCAUUGCACAGUGGGAGGGAGCCGGAUGCAACGACCCCGCGUGCGGGAUGACGGCCUUCGGGUUGUAAACCGCUGUCGCCUGUGACGAAGCGUGAGUGACGGUAAUGAGUAAAGAAGCACCGGCUAACUACGUG